AUGCGAACCAAAGUGCCUAUUCAUUUGAAUAUGCUUUUCUUUGCUCUAAAAAUGCAGAGGAAUAAGGACUGGGCAAGACCGGUGCCAGCCGCCGCGGUAAUCCCGGCAGUUCAAGUCGCAUCCACUAUUAUUGGGUCUAAAACAUCCGUAGCUUGUAGUUUAAGUCUCCUGUGAAAUCUUGCUUCUCAGGGGCAAGGCUUGCAGGAGAUACUGGAUUGCUAGAGAUCGGUAGACGUAAAGAGUACACUGGAGGUAGUGGUAAAAUACGUUAAUCUUCGGUGGACUAACAAUCAGCGAAGGCACUUUACGAGGACGAAUCUGACAGUGAGGGAUGAAGGCCAAGGGCGCAAAACGGAUUAGAUACCCGUGUAGUCUUGGCAGUAAACACUGCUCACUAAACAUUGGGCCCUCUUCGGGAGGAUUCAGUGCUGAAGCGAAGGCAAAGAGUGAGCUACCUGGGAAGUAUAGUCGCAAGAUCGAAACUUAAAGGAAUUGGCGGGGAGACAUACAACGAGUGACGCGUACGGUUCAAUUAGAUUCUACACCGUGAACCUCACCAGGAGCGACAGCAGGAUGAAGGUCAGUCUGAAGGGCUUACCUGACACGCUGAGCGGAGAUGCAUGGCCGACGUCAGCCUGUGCUGUGAAGUGACUUGUUAAAUCAAGUAACAGGCGAGACCCGCGUUCAUAAUUACUACAGAAAUGAGUACAUUAUGGAGACUGCCUUGGCAACAAGGAGGAAGGUGCGGGCUACGUUAGGUGAGUACGUCCCUAAUCCCCUGGGCUACACGCGCGCGGCAAUGAUAUGCUCAAUGAGAUGCGACUCCGAAAGGAGAAGCUAAUCCCCUAACGCAUAUCUCAGUUCAGAUUGAGGGCUGCAACCCGCCCUCAUGACGUUGGAAUUCGUAGUAAUCGGAUAUUAGCACUGUCCGGCGAAUAUGUCCCUG
rnacentral:rRNA from 1 species